rnacentral:misc_RNA from 1 species
GAAAUGCGAUAAGUAAUGUGAAUUGCAGAAUUCAGUGAAUCAUCGAAUCUUUGAACGCACAUUGCGCCCGCCAGUAUUCUGGCGGGCAUGCCUGUUCGAGCGUCAUUACAACCCUCAGGCCCCCGGGCCUAGCGUUGGGGAUCGGCGGAAGCCCCCUGCGGGCACAACGCCGUCCCCCAAAUACAGUGGCGGUCCCGCCGCAGCUUCCAUUGCGUAGUAGCUAACACCUCGCAACUGGAGAGCGGCGCGGCCACGCCGUAAAACACCCAACUUCUGAAUGUUGACCUCGAAUCAGGUAGGAAUACCCGCUGAACUUAAGC